rnacentral:rRNA from 1 species
AAUCAAUGCUGGCGGCGUGCCUCAGACAUGCAAGUCGAACGCGAAAGUCCCCUUCGGGGGACAAGUAGAGUGGCGCACGGGUGAGUAACACGUAGGUAAUCUACCUUCGGAUGGGGAAUAACAACCGGAAACGGUUGCUAAUACCGCAUAAUGCAGCGGCACCUAAUGGUGACAGUUGUUAAAGCGGGGGAUCGAAGACCCCGCGUCUGAAGAGGAGCCUGCGGCGGAUUAGCUAGNGGUAAGGUAAUGGCUUACCAAGGCGACGAUCCGUAGCCGGCCUGAGAGGGGCGGUCGGCCACACUGACACUGACAUACGGGUCAGACUCCUACGGGAGGCAGCAGUCGGGAAUUUUGGGCAAUGGGCGAAA